UACGAAGGGGGCGAGCGUUGUUCGGAUUUACUGGGCGUAAAGGGCGCGCAGGCGGCUUUGUUUGUCAGGCGUGAAAGCCCCGGGCUUAACCUGGGAACUGCGUUUGAUACGGCAGGGCUAGAGUUCGGGAGAGGAGAUCGGAAUUCCUGGUGUAGCGGUGAAAUGCGCAGAUAUCAGGAGGAACACCGGUGGCGAAGGCGGAUCUCUGGGCCGAUACUGACGCUGAGGAGCGAAAGCGUGGGGAGCGAACAGG
rnacentral:rRNA from 1 species